rnacentral:rRNA from 1 species
UGCUUGUCUCAAAGAUUAAGCCAUGCAUGUCUAAGCAGAGCCCUUGAAUGGUAAAGCCGCGAAUGGCUCAUUACAACAGCCACAGUUUAUUGGGUCUCCAUUUACUUGGAUAACUGAGCUAAUUGUUGAGCUAAUACACGCACCAAAGCUUCGACCUCACGGGAGGAGCGCAUUUAUUAGAACAAAACCAAUCGGACUUCGGUCCGUCCAUUGGUGAAUCUAAAUAACUUAGCCGAUCGCAUGGUCUCGCACCGGCGACUCACCUUUCAAAUGUCUGCCUUAUCACCUUUCGAUGGUAGUUUAUACGCCGACCAUGGGUUUUACGGGUAACGGAGAAUAAGGGUUCGACUCCGGAGAGGGAGCCUGAGAAACGGCUACCACAUCCRAGGAAGGCAGCAGGCA